AGAGAAAAGAAAAAAAACAGUCUGUGCUUUCAUAUCAGAACUUGUGAUUUAGGAUCAUAGGAAGGAUCAUUCCCAGAAGAAACAGGGACUUGGUCUGAUAAUCUCUGCACAGGAUUAAUGAGGCUGGAGUGUAUGAGAACGCACAGUUCUGAACCUGAAGAAAGGCUGGGCCAAAGCUUGUGGAGCAACAGUCAGAAAUGCCCCUCUCAGGACCUGCAAACUGAGUGGUUGCUUCUCUGCCUCCUACUUCCACCCAAGAACUUUAGCUCAGCCUGCCUAGGGGGAGGCUGCUCCCAUCACAGGCUGAGCUCUUGCGUUCUUCACAAGUCCAUCACUCUUCACAAUUUUUUUCCAGCCAGACAUCAUUGUCCCAGACAGAUGCCUAGACCAGGAGAAUCACAUCCAAAGCAGCGGAGGAUCCAAAGGCUCAGUUCAUCUUACCUCUGUGAAGUUCCUCCAGCUUCAUUUGCUUUUCAGAGUUGUUCUUCCUUGGCAGAACUGUUGGAGAAGGACUGUAAUGCUAACAGCCGUAAUUGCCAAGUGAGAGUUAUUCUAGAGUACAAGGAUUUCUGCACAUACUUUAGGCACCUGUUGUAUCACUGGAGACAACUCACACCUGUGGCAGGAUCAAAACUGUACGGUAUAAUAAUUCAGUCAUUACUUUGCUAUUUUGUAACUUGGUGCCAUCUGGAACAUAGCAUAGACAGAGCCUAAAACAGAAAGCAAUCUACAGUGUAUGUUAAGGUUGCAAAAGGAAACAAAAAACCCAAAGCAAAACAAAACAGAAAACCAACCCCCCUCCAGAGGGAAGUGUGAUAACAAGUAUCCACAAAGACAGGAAGCUGCAAAAAAACAAACGUCUGUGCUGGAAGUGAGGUUGGAUCAAAAAAAUUACUCCAGCCUUAAUCGGUCACUGACAUGAACAAACAGGCAUGCAAGAAGUUAGAAGGAGAGAACAUGGAUUUUUGAAGAGUUUGGCAAAAUAAGAAUCAUUUUGCCUGAGCAGAAAUGAACUAAAGAAUUCUUUGUCAUUCUUCGUUGAAUAGGCAAAGACAGAUGGAAGAUUAUAGAGACUGCCUGAAUACCAAUCAUCAGAAAUACGAUUUCUAACAAUUGCAACACUUACCAUGAAAAUGAACUUUUUGAUAACAUGACAUUGUAUAAAUUCUUUAUUUGUGUACAUUUUGUGAAUCAAUAACUAGAAACUUUAUGCUGAUGUAGAAAUAUAGUUAAUAGUAAAAAAUACAUUAGGCUGAAUAUUUAUUUACAGUGAAAUUCACCCUAAAAAAAUCAGUCUUAGGGCCUAUCAAACUUAAUUUCCAUUUGCAUCUGAAAAGAGUGCUAAUGAGACGAAAGUGGUAGAGAUCUUUUACAACUCUGAGUUUACAGAUCAAAGAAGAAAAAGGAACAUAUUCCUUUCCAGUCUCCCUUCUCUCUUGGCUUUUCUUUUAAACUGGAACAGAGUUAAAUGUAAUUUAUGCAAGGCCACAAAAAACUCUACAAUGUGAGAAAUAAGAUCUGUAGUGCAAGGUAUAUGUGCUUUAAGUUCAGUUUUUCUUUUUUACAUAGUCACUUUUUGGGGUACAAUUGUUCUUUAAUUCUGAGUUUUUAAAACUUGUUUUUGGAAUCUCAGUGACUUGAAACAACUUUAAUGUACUUCACAAUUCCUGUCAGUUUUCAGCUGUAAGCAGAAAACAACAGAAGACUAGCUCUUUUAUCUUUCAAAACAUUAGUAUGGAAGUUUUCAAAAUAGAAUCAACAUUAUUCUUUCAGUGUUCUGAAAGCAGGUUACUUGCAUCCUGUUCUUCUGAUGAAGUCAUUUAUAUUUACAAACUUUAUUCUUACCAAGUUAUUACUUGCUCUAAUUCUGCUUUGUGACAAUUAAAGACAGAGAAGAUAAUUUUGUAUCACUUUGGUGAACUAUCAUAGAACAGAAAAUAAAGAAGUAAUAACUUAUAAAUACCA
rnacentral:lncRNA from 1 species